GCUGUUCGCUUAAACAAGGAAUUGGAUUUUAUCCUGACAUUCAAGUUGAAGGGGGAGGAUUUAAUACGGGAAAGUGGAAUACCAUAUACAAUUGUGAGGCCUUGUGCAUUAAC